AUGGGAAGCAAACGUCAAUGCAAGCUGAUGAAACCUCGCUUGAAUGAAAUGUCACAUGAUAAAUCACCAAAUGAAAUCCUGAAGAAUGAUGAUGUUAAUCAUAGAUCCAAUAUUAAUAAGAUCAAUCAGAUUUUUCGACCAAAGAAGAUGAAGAAAUAUAGAUCUCUUGCUGAUAUUUACAGGGUGACAAAACCCAUUGAUACUGAAAAUUAA